rnacentral:rRNA from 1 species
UACGGAGGGGGCGAGCGUUAUUCGGAAUUAUUGGGCGUAAAGGGCGCGUAGGCGGCGCGAUAAGUCAAAGGUGAAAUCCCUCGGCUCAACUGAGGAACUGCCUUUGAAACUGUCGAGCUCGAGGCCGGGAGGGGGUAGCGGGAUUCCCAGUGUAGCGGUGAAAUGCGUAGAUAUUGGGAGGAACACCAGUGGCGAAGGCGGCUACCUGGACCGGUUCUGACGCUGAUGCGCGAAAGCGUGGGUAGCAAACAGG